GAUGAACGCUGGCGGCGUGCUUAACACAUGCAAGUCGAACGAAGCACUUUACUACGAUUUCUUCGGAAUGACGGUUUUGUGACUGAGUGGCGGACGGGUGAGUAACGCGUGGGUAACCUGCCUCAUACAGGGGGAUAACAGUUGGAAACGACUGCUAAUACCGCAUAAGCGCACGGCAUCGCAUGACGCAGUGUGAAAAACUCCGGUGGUAUGAGAUGGACCCGCGUCUGAUUAGCCAGUUGGCGGGGUAACGGCCACCAAAGCAACGAUCAGUAGCCGACCUGAGAGGUUGAACGGCCACAUUGGGACUGAGACACGGCCCAGACUCCUACGGGAGCAGCAGUAGGGAAUCUUCCACAAAUGGGGGGAAACCCCUGAUGCAGCGACGCCGCGUGAACGAAGAAGUAUUUCGGUAUGUAAAGUUC
rnacentral:rRNA from 1 species